CUACGGGGUGCACCAGUGGGGAAUAUUGCACAAUGGAGGAAACUCUGAUGCAGCAACGCCGCGUGGAGGAUGACACUUUUCGGAGCGUAAACUCCUUUUAUAUAGGAAGAAGAUGACGGUACUAUAUGAAUAAGCGCCGGCUAACUCCGUGCCAGCAGCCGCGGUAAUACGGAGGGCGCAAGCGUUACUCGGAAUCACUGGGCGUAAAGAGCGUGUAGGCGGAUUAAAAAGUCAGAAGUGAAAUCCUAUAGCUUAACUAUAGAACUGCUUCUGAAACUCUUAAUCUAGAAUAUGGGAGAGGUAGAUGGAAUUUCUGGUGUAGGGGUAAAAUUCGUAGAGAUCAGAAGGAAUACCGAUUGCGAAGGCGAUCUACUAGAACAUUAUUGACGCUUAGACGCGAAAGCGUGGGGAGCAAACAGGAUUAGAUACCCCCGUAGUC
rnacentral:rRNA from 1 species